rnacentral:lncRNA from 1 species
CCUAACGCCUUCGUCUCCUUCUUUCUCCCUUUUCUUUUUCUUUCUUCUUUCUUUUUCCUUCUGAUUCGUUUUUCCUUUACUUCUUUUUAAUUAUUUUAUUUUAUUAUUUUGUUUUGUUAUAUAUUAAUAUAUUAUUAUAUAAUAGAAUAUACAUAUACUUAUUUUAUAAUAUAUAUAAUAAAUUCACAAAAAAUCUUCCUUAUGUCGCCACAUAAAGAAAUAAUAGCAUAAU